AUUUUGGACAAUGGGGGAAACCCUGAUCCAGCCAUCCCGCGUGUAUGAUGAAGGCCUUCGGGUUGUAAAGUACUUUUGGCAGAGAAGAAAAGGUAUCUCCUAAUACGAGAUACUGCUGACGGUAUCUGCAGAAUAAGCACCGGCUAACUACGUGCCAGCACCCGCGGUAAUACGUAGGGUGCAAGCGUUAAUGGGAAUAACUGGGGGUAAAGCUUGUGUAGGCGGUUCGGAAAGAAAGAUGUAAAAUCCAAGGCCUAAACCUUGGAACUGCAUUUUUAACUGCCGAGUUAGAUAAUGUCAGAGGGGCGUAGAAUUCCACGUGUAGCAUUGAAAUGCGUAGAUAUGUGGAGGAAGCCCGAUGCCGAAGGAAGCCCCCUGGGAUAAUACUGACGCCCGGAAACGAAAGCGUGGGAGCAAACAG
rnacentral:rRNA from 1 species